UUAAGUAAGGAAGGGCGUACGGCGAAUGCCUUGCCACUCGAAACUGAAGAAGGACGCGCCAAACUGCGAAAAGCUCCGUGAAGCUGUAAGGAAGCGAAGAAGCGGAGGUGUCCGAAUGGGGGAACCCGGCAGCAGACAUGAGCUGUCAUCUGCAGGUGAAUACAUGGCCUGCAAGAGAGGUACCCGGCGAACUGAAACAUCUAAGUAGCCGGAGGAAAAGAAAACAACAGUGAUUCCCUGAGUAGCGGCGAGCGAAAGGGGAGAAGCCCAAACCGGUCCGAGGGCCGGGGUUGAAGGACCAUGAUAUGGCAAGAACGAGGAUAGGAGAACGGGAUCGAAAGCCCGGCCGAAGAAGGUGAAAGCCCUGUAACCGAAAUCCAAGGGAAGCCUAAUGGGAUCCUGAGUACGGCGAGACACGAGAAAUCUUGUCGGAAGCAGGCGGGACCAUCCGCCAAGGCUAAAUAUAAACGAGUGAGCGAUAGUGAACCAGUACCGUGAGGGAAAGGUGAAAAGAACCGCGGGAGCGGAGUGAAAGAGAACCUGAAACCGUAUGCCUACAAGAAGUCAGAGCCCGUUAAGGGGUGAUGGCGUGCCUUUUGUAGAAUGAACCGGCGAGUUGCGACAGACUGCGAGGUUAAGGAGGAAAGACCGGAGCCGAAGCGAAAGCGAGUCUUAAUAGGGCGAAAGUAGGAUGUUGCAGACCCGAAACCGGGUGAUCUAGCCAUGAGCAGGUUGAAGUUGAGGUGAAACUCAAUGGAGGACCGAACCGACUACCGUUGAAAAGUUAGCGGAUGACUUGUGGCUAGGGGAGAAAUUCCAAUCGAACCCGGAGAUAGCUGGUUCUCCCCGAAAUAGCUUUAGGGCUAGCGUCGGAAAGAACCUUAGUGAAGGUAGAGCACUGAAUGUGUGAUGGCCCCAUCCCGGGGUACUGAAUACAAUCAAACUGCGAAUGUCAUUAAGGAUGUCCGGCAGUCAGACUGUGAGUGAUAAGGUCCAUGGUCAAGAGGGAAACAGCCCAGACCGCCAGUUAAGGUCCCAAAAUACAGGCUAAGUGGAAAAGGAUGUGGGGAUGCCCAGACAACUAGGAGGUUGGCUCAGAAGCAGCCAUCCUUUAAAGAGUGCGUAACAGCUCACUAGUCGAGUGACCCUGCGCCGAAAAUGUACCGGGGCUAAGCCUGAUACCGAAACUGCGGAUUGUAGGAAACUAUAGUGGUAGGGGAGCGUUGUAUACGAGCAGAAGCCGUACCGUGAGGAGCGGUGGAUUGUAUAGAAGUGAGAAUGCCGGUGUGAGUAGCGAGAUGUAGGUGAGAAUCCUACACACCGAAAGCCCAAGGAUUCCAGGGGAAGGUUCGUCCGCCCUGGGUAAGUCGGGACCUAAGGCGAGGCCGAAAGGCGUAGUGGAUGGAAAGCAGGCGAAAGAUUCCUGCACCCGUAUAUGGAGCGAAGGAGUGACGGAGACGGAUAGUGUGACCCUCUUAAUGGAUUGAGGGCGAAGCGAAGCGGCUGGUUACCAGGCAAAUCCGGUAACUGAAAGGCUAGAGCGUGACAGGUAAGCGAAAUCUUAGGAAAGUAGCGAAGCACAUGAUGACGGCUUCCAGGAAAAGCUUCUGGCAAUGCAUAUGCGGCCCGUACCAAAACCGACACAGGUGGGCAGGGAGAGAAUCCCGAGGUGAGCGAGAGAACUGUUGCCAAGGAACUCGGCAAAAUGACUCCGUAAGUUAGCGAGAAGGAGUGCUUAAGCAAUUAAGCCGCAGUGAAGAGGCCCAAGCGACUGUUUAACUAAAACACAGCUCUCUGCGAAGUCGCAAGACGAAGUAUAGGGGGUGACACCUGCCCGGUGCUGGAAGGUUAAGAGGAUCUGUUAAGAGCGAUCUGAAGCAGUGAUCCGAAGCCCCAGUGAACGGCGGCCGUAACUAUAACGGUCCUAAGGUAGCGAAAUUCCUUGUCAGGUAAGUUCUGACCCGCACGAAAGGUGUAACGAUUUGGGCGCUGUCUCGGCAGCAGACUCGGUGAAAUCUUAGUACCUGUGAAAAUGCAGGUUACCCGCAACUAGACGGAAAGACCCCAUGGAGCUUUACUGCAGCCUGAUAUUGAAUUCUGGUCAUACAUGUACAGGAUAGGUGGGAGACAAAGAGACGUGCACGCCAGUGUACGAGGAGUCGACGUUGGGAUACCACUCUUGUGUGACCGGGGUUCUAACCUGGUAUCGAGAACAGGUACGGGGAGAGUGUCAGGUGGGCAGUUUGACUGGGGCGGUCGCCUCCCAAAGAGUAACGGAGGCGCCCAAAGGUACGCUCAGAUUGGAUGGAAACCAAUCGUCGAGUGCAAUUGCAGAAGCGUGCUUGACUGUGAGACUUACAAGUCGAACAGGGACGAAAGUCGGGAAUAGUGAUCCGGCGGUGCCGAAUGGAAGGGCCGUCGCUCAACGGAUAAAAGCUACCCUGGGGAUAACAGGCU
rnacentral:rRNA from 1 species